GAUGAACGCUAGCUACAGGCUUAACACAUGCAAGUCGAGGGGUAACAAGAGAAAAGCUUGCUUUUCUUGUUGACGACCGGCGCACGGGUGAGUAACGCGUAUCCAACCUGCCUAUAACUAGGGAAUAACCUUGCGAAAGUAAGACUAAUACCCUAUGAUUUCCUUUGAUGACAUCAGAUUAGGAAUAAAGAUUUAUCGGUUAUAGAUGGGGAUGCGUCUGAUUAGCUUGUUGGCGGGGUAACAGCCCACCAAGGCAACGAUCAGUAGGGGUUCUGAGAGGAAGGUCCCCCACAUUUGAACUGAGACACAGUCCAAAAUCCUACGGGAGGCAGCAGUGAGGAAUAUUGGUCAAUGGGCGGAAGCCUGAACCAGCCAAGUAGCGUGCAGGAUGACGGCCCUAUGGGUUGUAAACUGCUUUUAUACAGGAAUAAAGUUAGCCACGUGUGGUUAUUUGUAGGUACUGUAUGAAUAAGGACCGGCUAAUUCCGUGCCAGCCGCCGCAGUAA
rnacentral:rRNA from 1 species